rnacentral:ncRNA from 1 species
UUUUUCAGAAUGAGGUGGUUAAAAGGAUGAUAGUGGUCGACAUGAGAAAGGGAAGAAAAUAGCUUGCACAUGUGAAAUGAUCAUGAUGAGUAUUUCCAUUUUUUGGGAAUCAGUAAUGAGAAGAGAUUUUAUUUCUAUACUUGUCGUGUUAUAUCGAUGAAGUUAGUAGGAAAUUGCUAGUAGGAAUUUCCUACUAACAAAUGAUUUCAUCACCAUUCCUUUUAGGAAUGGUGAUGAAAUUAUUUGUCAUGCUGACUUUGUUUUGCACUUGUGUAUUUUAACGCUUUAUUGUCGUAUUGAAUCUACCUUGCGAUUAACGUAUUACAAUGUGUUACCUCACCAUUGAUCUUCUCCAUUGGAUUUGAAUAGUUCGAUGUUUUGGUAUAGAUGGUUCUUAUUACUAUUAGCAAUUUACUAAUAAGCUAAUAGUUAUUAGUAACUAUCGUUACUAUAACAAGUAUUGUAAACUUUUGCCCUUUAACCAAGUCGCUCGAUGGAAGCGUCAAAAGGCGGCGUUGGUUAAAUGGUUGGUUCGUGGCAGCCAAGCGCGGCGCUUGAAGUGCCCAUACCGAUGUUGGCAUUCGAUGCUGGCUCUUCCUAGUAGGAAGUUGCUAUCAUUGAAACGCAGAAGUCUUAAAGUAUCGGAUUAUUCACCCACCAGUAGAGAACGUGAACUGGGUUAAGACCGUCAUGAGACAGUUUAGUUUUACCCUACUGACGAAGUAGACACUGCGACAGUAGUCAAACUCCGAGUUAGUACGAGAGGAACAAUUCGUCCAGAUACUUGGUUGAUGCCGUUGUCUGAAAACACAGUAGGGCAGAACUACCAUCUGCUGGAUUACGGCGGAACGUCUGUAAGCCUCAACCCAUGCUGGAUAUAAGCAGUGUUGUACACCGUGCUCAAUGCUGAGAGAAAAAUGCUGGCUUCGGCCUGACCAAAAUUCAAGCUGCUAUAACUCUAGCUGCAUUGAUUAUGGUCAGAGUGUAUGGUGAUCAAACAGUUGCAAGUAUUCGGCUCGAUAAAUCCUUUAAAGAUGACUCAACUGCACGGGUAUCAUAAGUACUGGCUUAGUCUUACAAUCCACUGAGAUUCAUCUCGUAUGCGCCGAUUUGU